CUGGGCAGGGCCCCCUUGAGGAGCAGCCCUGGCAGGUGGGUCCUCGCCUUGUACGCUGCCUGCAGGUGCUGGAUGCUCCACAUGUGGGCACCGGGGAUGGUCCCACUUGAGGCUUUGAGCUCCGGCGAGGCCACCCUCUGUCCAGCCAGGGGGAGGGUGCCUCUGAGAAGGGGGCUGUCAGAGUUGCCUGAGGAGGGGGCUGGGAUGACCCCUAUCAAUCCCAGUCCUGGGGUUCCUUGGCUCUUGUCCCUCCCUGCAAGUGGGGAGGCCAUGAGAAGUUGUGGGGAAAGGCCCCAGAGACCCCAGGGCAGGGAAGGAGGCCUGGGGGCUGUGCUGGGGCCUGGAAGGGGGAGGCCUUGUGCUGCUCCCUGUGGUCUGACGGGCAGGAGGUUAGAGGGAGGGGCAGGCCUGCUUCCAGCAGGGUGGUCAGUGCAGGGCAGUCAGCGCAGGGCGGAGGUCUGUUUUCUCCUUGGUUAUUUCAGGUAAACCGCAUGCCCCGGGCCCCCAGAGUGGGAGAAAAGCCAGUUCAUGGCCCUCUCCCCACCUUCAGCACUGCCCCUCCCCCCAGUCUCCACCCUGGCAGGGCUGUGGGGCCCGGGGCAUCAGCUGAGCCCACUGGGCCCACAGCACCCUCAGGACCUCGCCACCCCUUGGGACCCACAGGGUAGCAUUCCAGGGCUUCUCCUACACAGGGGGCUCCAUUCGCCCGAAGGCCAAGGACUGCAGAGCUCAUCAAUGGUGAGGGGGGCCCGGGAGGUGGGUGCCUUGGGGGUGGUCCCAACUGGGUGGGGUUGGGGAGCCUGGGGGCACCAUACGGGUAUAAGAAUUCAUUUUGGACACAGUGUGUGUCCCCUUCUGCGGAACCUUUGAGCUCAAUAGCCCAAGGGCAGGCCAGGCUCACCGCCCCUUUGGCUGUUGCCACUCUGGGUCAGUCUCCAGGGGCAAGGACAGGUUGGCAGUGUCCCCCCUCUGCCUGACUCCAGUCUGGGCAUUUCUGGAGCAUCCUGUGCGCCUGGCUCAGCCCAGCAAGCUGACAUUUGAAAGCUCACAGCUGUCCUGUGAGGUGGGUGAUUCCCGUGUCGUUUCAUGGUGAAGAAGCCAAGGCCAGGACAGAAGUGACCUGUCCCCGGGCCACAGCUGGGCAGGGGCGGAGUUGGCAUUUGAACCCAGCUGCGUGCCUCUUGAGUGCUGCUCUGUGGGCCCCGCAGCCUCCUGUCAGCUCCUUCUGGCGCCUGCUCUGUGGGUGUUCCUUUUGUCUAAGGCGCCUGCAGCCCUCAGAGGGUCUGUGGGGUGGGGACAGAGCUCAGCACCCCGCAUCCACCAGCACCAUCUCCGACCUCUGUGCAGGCUUCGUGUUAGAGGUGGCAGCCAGGUCCUGCCAACGGAAGAUGCUGGGCCUUGGAAACAGCCUGCACUGUAGGUGACCCGGCCGGCCGGGCCCAAACUGGCUGCCAAGAAAAGGGAGCGGGAAAGGAAAACAGCUCUCGGCCACAUCGCCUGUGUAACCGAAUCUGUUUUCAAAGCCCCUCGCAACGCGGGCUCCGCAUUCGGCAGGGCAGGCACUCGCCGCCAGAUCCCCGAGGACUGCUCAGGGGGUCUUCUGGGAGGAGCUCAAAGCGAGUUUGUUUUCGGGGAGGAGGUCAUUGCACUCAAGGUCCCCGUGACUGCAGCGUUCUCAAACGUCCUGCCAUGUGCUGGGAUAACCCCACCCACCGCAGGCGUGCCCUCCGUGGGGCAGGGAGGGGAAGCAGGUUUGGGCUGUUAGGGCUGCAAGCCAAGGGGCCUGCAGGGCAUCUUAGUGAGCUGCUUUGGUGUCCCUGCAGUUGGCGACACCCAUUGUCACACCCCCUCGGCACCCUCGGUCUCCCACAUGACAGACUUACCUGGGGAUGCAAACAGGGCUGGUGAUGACCUUGGCCCUGUGCGGUGGGGUGGCCGUUUAUGAUGGGGCCUGCACUCAACUCACUUUCAGGUCUAGAUGCGGGGACCGGGGGAGGUGUCAGCUGGGCUGGGCUGGGCACGACUAGACUGUGGCCCCGUCUGCGGGAGCCCGGCCACCACCUCAGCAACGCCACCUCCUUAGGAUGUGGGGGCGGGAUUUACUCUCGAGACUCUUAGAGCCAGCGGGUGGCUGGAGGCUCAUAGCCUGGCCCAGGCAGCUGGGGGAGGGCUUUGCUGGUGCCUGGGACCCCCCACCCCCUGCAUUCUCGCCUUUGCUUUCUCUUUUGCUCUCGUCUUUAACAACAUCUCUCCACUCCUCCCCUCCCUCCCUCCUCUGGCCUGCCCGCUCCUUCAUUCCUUCUCUGCUCCUAACCCCCGCAUAGAGGAGCCUGGGGAGCCCGCAGCCUCCUGACCCCAUGUUCCUCUUUCUCUCCUGUCUUCCUGGAGACGUCUGCCACUGACAGUCUUGGAGCCCUGUCAAGGGGACCUGUCCUGCGCUGGGCUGUCCACAGAGGAGCAGCGUGGAGGAGCUGGGAGUGCCCAGCCUGCCUGUGGGCUGCAUUGCCGCUUCCUGCCCAGGAGCCCUGCAGCCGUCUGUCCGCCUCUGAGUAGGACAGUGGGGUUUCCUGGCCAGGAGCAGAGUUUGUCACAUUCCAGUUAUGUCUGCCCAAUGUUCAGCUUUUGGGUCUGGCUGAAGCUGCCCUGCGGAUUAUGCAAAAACCUGUCUGAGGGAGUGAGAACGCAGAGGCACCUUAGAGCCAGCCAUGGCUCCAAGCUCUGAGGAUCUGCAACAGACACACAUUGGCUGGGCCUGAGCAAAGAGGGAAAGCCACUCUCCUUCAGCAACGAAGGAGUGGGGAUAGCAAGGGCUGAGCUUGUACAUGCACACCUGUGUGCAGCCACACACAUACACCUGUGCACACACAUGCAUAUGCUCAUAUAUGUGCACACAUGCAGGCCCGUGCUCACAUGCAUGCAUACCUCUGUGCCCCCACACUUAAUGCACAUACAUGUGCACAUGCACACCUACACACAUUCCUAUGCACCCACCCAGUGCUCAUGACAAACCUGUGUGUACUUACGUGUGUACAUCCAGAUGCACCCACACACUCGCACACAUGCCUCUACGUGUACGCCCAUGGGCACGUGUGCUCACAGAGGCCUGGAAGGUGCUGUUUUUCCACGCGACGAUGGCUGCCGUGCUCGGUGGGAGCAGCCGCGUUGCUGCCUGUUCCCGUGCCCCAGUCUGGCCGUCACUCCUCACCCUCGUCAGGCUCAGGGUGGGAGGGUGAGUAGCCUGGAGUGGCCUGGUCACGUAGGUGGGCAGCCAGCUGGGGCACUGACCUCCAGAUGGGCCACGAGAGCCCUUCCUGCAUCUUCUGAGUCCCUGACUCAGUGCCCAGUGAGGGUCCCGGAGGGCAAAAGAAUGUCUAACGCUCCACCUGUGGGCGGGUCUGGCCUUACGGAAACUUCUCCAUGGCAGGUGGAGGCCUGGUUGAGUGGAGCAAAGGGCAGGCAUUCCCAGUGAUCAGGAGCUGGGGCCAGGCCUACUGACACCUUGAUGCUGAGGGGCCAGAGCGGUCCUGAGCGAUGUCCCGAAGGCCCAGGGUCUGGGCAGGUGGAGGCAGAUGGACCAAGCAGGGCCUUUGUGUUCCAGGGCACUUUGCAGGCAGCAGGACCCCCAGGUCCUCUGGAGAGGGUGGCUGGAGACCCGGCCUGAAGCUGCUGCCCCCAACACCACAGGAUACCUGCCUGCAGGUGCCAUCCAUUGCUUGGGGGCUGCACAGAGCAGUUUUGAGCAGGCAGUGGGGUGUCACCUUGGAGUGGCUGUGAGAUGUGCGGGACCCUUGGGGGCCACCUGGGGUCAAGCCCAGCCCUGCCUCUUGGGCUCUGGGACCCUGGGGGAGCCACUCCGUGCUCUGUGCCUAGGUCUGUGACCCUGGAGGAGGGCGGUGCUGUCCAUCUCCGGGGACGAUGGUUGCAUCUCAAGGGUAAGGGCCCCAGGCCUGCCAGGUGCUUCGAGUACAGUCCAGGGGCGGCCUCUCGGGGCUGCUCUGGUGGGCGGCCAGACCCUGCUGGAAUGUGACUCUGUUCCUGGGAUCAGGACCUGCCCUGUUGCUUGUGGGCAGGGUUGCCUUUGUCAGGUCCUGCCAUUUCUGAGCCUCAGUUUCCCAAUCUGUGGUGGGGUUGACGUGAGGAAAUGAGAAAUGCACCCAGGGAGCACUGGCUGGCGCUGCAGGGCAGCAAGGGGGAGCCACCAUGGUCACUCUUGGAAAAGUCCCCAGCCCUGCACCAGCAGGGCAGUAAGAAAGUCCACGGCUGCCGCUGUCCUGGAGAGAGGCAGCAGCCCGGGAGAGGCAGCAGCCCUGGCCACACCCCUGCCAAGAGCCAGCUCAGGGGCCCAGGGCCGCUGAGAUCACUGGGCAGUUCCCAGGCUGGCUGGGCUGUCCCCUCGUCAGGAGGGCAGGGCUGGCAGGUUUGUGGACGCCUUCCCAGGCUGACCCCCACAAUAGCCGCCCUGCUCCACCCUGAAUCUACCCGUCCCAGGCUGCGCCUGCCUCCAAGUGCCUGAUUGGAGAUGGCCAAGCCCAUUCCUCAUGUACAAAGAAUUUCCCGAGCAGCCACAGCUGCUGCAGCUGGAACUUGUCUCCAGAUGGGUCGUUCCGAGGGAAACCAGCGUCUCCUGUCUCCUCCUGCAGACAUGGGCUGGCGUCCGAGCCCUGGAUCCCCUGCCCUGGCUUGGCUUCCUCUGGAGGGGAGAUAAGGGGCUCCUGACAUCUUGUAGGCUGAAGAACCCGCCCAGCACGCUGACAGGGAGGCGCCAGAGGCAGCCGCAGACCGGCCUCAGCCCCUGCAGCCCCUCCCCUCUUGUUGUUGCAGAAAGAAGCCCUCAGGGCCCAAGGUCGACCCACCCAGCCAGGGGACUGCUCUGUAGCUGUGGCCCACUCCAGCCAACCCGGGAGUGAGGGGCUCCGAAGCGUGCCCAGCACAUAGGGAGGGCUCAUUCCGGGGGGCACCGUCUCCCAGUCAGAGCAGGCUGGAGCUGGGCACAGCCGAGGAAGAGCAAACGUGUUCUGUCCUUGACUCCUUCUCCAAGUUUGUGAUGGCAUCUGCCAUGGGCCAGACAGGGGCACACGAGAGUGAGCGAGUGGACGUGGCUGCCCUCUGGAGCCUUCCAGGGCGCGAUGGCAGGUGUGGAGAGGCACACAGGGAAACCCUGGAGUCUCGCCGAGGUACAAGGCGAUGCAGAAAGGGCCAGGGAGUUCCCAGAGACUGUCAGGGGCUCCCUGGGCGGAGGCAGAGACCCCCACCUGGCCCCUGGCACCUCCAGCACCAUGGGCGCCCUGGCUAGGGAUCCCUUCCUGUCUGAGGUCAGCGCUGCAAACCUGUGGCUGCGGUUACCCCACCAUGUUUUUUAAAAUUGGAACAAUUCAUGUAAAAGCCCAGAUUCAUUUUUUCUUGAAAAAAAUUGACAGCCAACUGUGACCACAGUGGGCUUGUUUCUACGCAUUGGGGGCUCUUCCCUCGGAACAGGCAGUGCUCUCAGUUGCCGUAGACGCCCCCCACUCCCUGUCAUCUCACCCGGUCCCUGCUGGGCCUCUUUGUGGCCCAUCCCCUGGUUCAGAUAUUUCAUUCAAAGACCCACCCCCCCAGGGGGAGGCCAUCCUUCUCAGGAAGGUCGCUUGGCCUGGACUCGGAACUGGACACUCAUUACUGGUCACCCUGUGACUGGAGCAGGACUUUGCCUUUCUGCACCUCGGUUUCUCCAUCCUAAGAGGGGCUAACGCCUGUGUCGUGGGACUGUCCCGAGGCGCUCAGAAGCAGUAGGCUUGCUCAUGCUUAAGCACAGAGCUCACAGCUGGGGGUGGCCCCUGUGCCACAGGUCCCUGUGUGUGCCCAACUCCCGCUGCAGAGGGCAACGCUGUGUGUGCCCAUGUCUGUGCUGUGGAUGCAAUGUGUAAACUGCACAGCCUUUGACGGUGGCUGCCUGGGUUGGAACGCGGGCCUCUAUGUGUGCUCUCCAACGGCCUGUGGCGGAAGGGCAGCCCCUCCCUUGGUGGGGGAAGUUCUCCAUAGCUUUGGUGCUUGGGAGGUUUGGAGAUGGCUUAGAGAGCCAUCGGGAUGUGAGGGGAUACAUUUAUCUCUGUCUUCUUGGGGACAGACCUCGGAGGUCCCUCUUUCACCCUUAAAGGCCUGGAUGAAUGGAAUCCGUGGGGCAGGAUUCUCAAAGCAAGACUGGUGGGGCCUCACAGGCAUUCCUGGAAAAGGGCUGUGGAGUUAAAAACCCAAGCGGGAAAUAAACAGAACUAGGCUUAGGAAGGGUCUCUCUGGGAGGCCUGUCUGCCCUCCAUCUUUCGUGGGCUCAGGAGCACUGCCUGGGGCUGGGAGCGAGAGCUCGGAUACUUUACGUUCUCUGAGGCGCUGACCGUGGCUCUGCGAGGAGGAGUGUUCCUCCGGACAGACAUCUUUCAGCGGCGCUGGACUAAGCCAUGGGACAGGUCUGACUGUGGCUCUGCGCUCCCCGCCGCCCCAUCUGUUGCCCCCUCCCCACUGAGAGCUGGGGGAGGGACGGGAUCUUUGUGAGCUGACUUGGGGUCUCAGAGCCGCGGGGAGGGAGGAGUGGGGCUCUCCCUGCGCGGGUUCCUUUUCUGGGUGAGGCGGAGCCUGUUCACCAGGCAGAUCGGGGGCUCCCCGGCCUCCACAGAUCUCCUGGUGUCUCCCCCCAGGCUGUUCACACUUUCUUUACUUGGGGGGCUGAUAAGUCACGCAGCUGGCAGCAUUUGCACCUGAUUCAAGGAGGUGAACAUUUUCCCUGGAGAUUAGCCUUGAAGUCAGGGCUGGUCCCCACCCGGGGACGAGGAGAGGACAGAAGGCUACAGAGGGCUGCACCGGGGGAGGGUAGAUGGGGCGUUCACCCACCCCUGCUGCCGCAUUUUCCUUUGUUGGUUUUGCCCGAGGUCUGAUAAGCACCCUGCUCCAGCCAGAGGCCUUAUCUGGCCGCCUAAUCCCCUGGCCUUGGCUGGAGAACACCAGGGCUUUGCCCAGUCCGCCCUCCCUACCCCCUCCCUGGCCCCUGCAGGCCGUUGGGGCUGGGGGUGGAGGGAGAGGGAGGUGGAGUGAAUACCCCCUUCCUCUUGCUCUUUCUCUUCCAACAGGGCAAGGGGUGCCGGUGGUUGAAGAGGCCCCUCUGGGCAGGAACCUCUCACCUGGGGCACGGCUGAAACCAAAGAAUUCAAGCUCCAUAAGGAAGAACCUAGAGGCCCCCCACGUCAGCCUGCCCCAGCCUGGAGCUUACCCACCAUGGAAAUGUGUCUGUUGGCCUUACAGAGGAGAAGGCAUUUGGGCAGGGCUUUGAGGUAUGAGUAGGAGUUUGCUGAAUGAAAUGAGAGGAAAGGGUUUUCAGGGCAGAGGGAACAGGUUGGGGUGGUAAGAAGGGUCCUGAGGCCCAUAGAGAGUGACUGCUAUGAGUGAGUGGUUGGAACUGGCGUGACUGAAGAUGGGGAAGGACAUCUGGGGGUCGGGGGUGCCAGAGGAGUUGGGGAUUUAUCUGGAAGAUGGUGGGUGCUAAGGCAAGAAGAACCAAUUCCUUUUUCUUUUUGCCAAAGCAAAGCCCUCCAUAGGAUUUCCUUUUGGACUUUCUUUUUGAAAGAGUAAUGCACACUGACAGUAACCAUUUAGAUAAUACAGUUUCUAAAAGAAAAGCAAUGAUCCUUUGCCUCUCCCACACCCACCUUUUCCCCACAAGCCCCCAGAAGGCUGGGGGUCUGCUCUCCCUCCCUUGACAGCUGCAGGAUGUUUUGUGGUGGGGUGUGAGGGGCUUUGGCCAGUCCCUGGAGAUGGACGUGCUGGUGUGUCCAGUUUCCCCAGCCCACUUAAAUGGGUGCAGUGAGUGGCCUUUAUAAGUUCCCCGAAGGGGGCGUGUGGGGGACAGUUACAGACAUGUCGUUUAACAAAUGCUGCAGAUCCCCUUCCAGAAGUGAAGAACAUCUCAGCCGUGCCCUGGCAGGCCUGGCUCCUCCCCCUCCACACCUGAAGUUUCUGUUUAAAAUGUUUGGCCACUGGAGGGGUGAAGACACUCACCUGUGCCUGAGGCACUUUAUUAUCCUGACUGAGCGCGCCCUGCACCUCUCACUGUCCUGAAGUGGCUCGGCCCUCGGGCUUCAUCUGGGCCUUCUGUACCUGAGCCUGGGCUUGGCCCAGCGUGGCCAGUGGGCUCCGGGCCCCUCCUGCCAGCCUAGCACUUCUGAGACAGAAGCCUGGCGCAGCAGGCAGGCACCUCUGGACUUUGAGCCUGGGCCCUUGACAGCCAGGGAGAGGGCGACCCCCAGCACACACUACCCUAACCUUUAGCAACGUCCCCACUGCAGAUGGGGGUGCUAGCCUUGAAAGUUGGGUGCCCCAAGGGUUGGGGCAGGAGGGCAAGGGGCCGCCCCAGGGAGGUGGUGCAUGACACAGCCUAUAACAGGCAGUGACUCACUGCUCAUCCAGCCAUAAAGUCAGGGUGAUAGGCUCAGUGUCCCAGCCGUGCUCCCUGGAGUCCCUGCCCCAACGUCAUUCCCUUCUCUGCAGCCUGCGCUGGGCAGAGCUCCCUCCCCAGGGGGGCCGCCUGGGCCACUCUGGGACCAUCCACCCAUUCCAGACCCACCCAUUCCAACUCACUUGCUACUGCUGGGGAGACUGAGUGCCAGGGAGGGGGAGCAAGGGUAGAUGGAGAACUAACAGUGUCAGAGUCCACAGGUCAUCUGUCCCCCACUUUACAGUGUGGACUGCGGGAGGGGAUCCCAGUGUGGGCUGCAGAGCUCAGGGCCAGGAUGCUCGGCCUGUCCAGGCUGCGAUCUGGAGGAAGCGGGUACUCUCUGCUUAGCCCAGGGCCUUCCACGCUCCUGGGGGCUGCGGGGACAGAUCCAAGAACAUGGGCCCUGGGGCCAUGGUGUCCGAUUCAACCCACGCUUCCUCCCUGUUGACACCGGGCAACUUGCUGAGCCGCUCCGUGCCUCAGUUUCCUCGUCUGUAAAGUGGGAUUCAUAGUAGCUCCUUCCCGACUGGGCUGUCUGGGGAUUGGUGAGUGAUGCCGUGGGGCAGGAUCAUGAUUUACGGGGUGCCUGUAUGUUCUCCCAGAGACGGGAAGGGCCCUGAGGGGUGACUCCUCACCAGAUAGCGGGGUCUCCCAGGGACUAAGCAGGUGGGAGGGAUGGGCGCUGCCCUACUGUGCAGAGCCUUGGCGGGAUCCCUUGACGCUGUCCCCAGGCUCUGCGGGGCCAGGAAUAGGGCCACUGGGCCUGGGGUCCUUGUAGUUCAAGGGUCACCCUGAACUGCGGGGCUCUAACUAUAGAGACCCUGGGGCAGUGACGCCUGUGCAACCUGCCCGCCUGUCACUCCCUCCCCCAACCCCUCACACUUGCCCUGCCUCCUUGACCUGCCCUGCCCACCCCUCACCCUCACCCUCACGCUGCCCCCUUAUCCCGCCCCUGGCACCUGCCCUGCCCUUCCCCUCCUGUGAUGGUUAAUACUGAGUGUCAACUUGAUUGGACUGAAGGAUGCAAAGUAUCGAUCCUGGGUGUGUCUGUGAGUGUGUUGCCAAAGAAGAUUAACAUUUGAGUCAGUGGCUGGGAAAGGCAGACCCAUCCUUAAUCUGGGUGGGCACCAUCUAAUCAGCUGCCAGCUCUGCUAGAAUAUAAAGCAGGCAGAAAAACGUGAAAAGGCUAGACUGGCCUAGCCUCCCAGCCUACAGCUUUCUCUGUGCUGGAUGCUUCCUGCCCUCGAACAUUGGACUCCAAGUUCUUCAGCUUUGGGGCUCAGACUGGCUCUUCUUGCUCCUCAGCCUGCAGACGGCCUAUUAUGAGACCUUGUGAUCACAUGAGUUAAUACUCCUUAAUAAAGCCGCCUUUAUAUAUACAUCUGUCCUGUGAGUUCUGUCCCUCUAGAGAACCCUGACGAAUACAACGCCCCUCACCCUCACACUGGCCCUGUCCCCCUUGCUCCUGCUGUGCCCAGCGCCCCUGCCUGUUCCUUCCCAUGCCACAGGGAGCUCUGGACACAGAGUGAUCACAGAA
rnacentral:lncRNA from 1 species